CCCUGAGCUCCAGGCACCUGGGGCACAUGGUACUGAGCCCGGAGGAGCCAGGAAGCGCCUGGGCUGCAGCUUGGGCAUCCUAGAAGUCAGGACCUCCGGAUGACUCUCUCCUGGGCCACCAGGGAGCCGCAGGGCAGCCUGCUGACCGGAUCCUGUCUCCUGGAGCUGCCGGCCUAAGAUGUAGAUGAGGGUUUCAUGCACCACAGAACCUCAAACAUAGGAGCUUCAUCCCGUCUCCUCUGAAGUGCUUUCUAAGACAGUGUUAGAGCAGGUGUGGGCGACCUCAACCUUCAGCCCUAAGGUCAUCCAGUUCAACAAGAGCCCUUUUCAGGUGAGGAGACCGAGGCCCAGGGAGGUGAAGAGACGUGUCCAGGGUCACGCAGCGCGCUGCUGAACUGGCACCCGAAACCCCAGAGGGGGCAGUGCCCCCACAGUGCAGCGGGAGGCACGGGCUGAACACCCGGCUGCUAGUGCGAGCUCACGGUUUGCAGAAGAGCCGAGUCUGCACAAAGGGACAGAAGACAGCCGGAAGCGGGAGUCACGGAGACGCGGCGAGACCCCUCUGGCAGUGUGACCAGGGCAAGUUAGGGAGCUGUGCCCAUUGUCUGCUCCACACCCCAGAAUGGGGACAGUCUGCUCCCUCACCAUGGGCUGCCACGGGCUGGAAAUGGGGUGGCCUGGGCAGAGCGUCCAGCACAAGGCUCCACCCAGGAUGGAAGUGAAUUUUCUUCACUCCUGUCCCUUCUUCUGCGAGCCCCACCGUCUGACUGGACAGAGGGCCAACCUGUCGUAAGAUGAACAGGAAGUGGGGCAUGAGUGUGUGUGAGGCUGGGCACAGGGGGUGUGCCACGGUUGCCUGCCCAAGGGGUCCUUGUCGCUGGGGGCGGGGAGGAUGUCCAGCCUCCGUCAGUGGAGGGGCCGGGAGUCAGGUAGGUGUCUGCAGGGCGGGAGGGCCCCUGGCACGCCGGUCCCCUGUGGAGCACGGAUGCCCCAGGUUCAGCCUCCCCGGCGCCACCUGGAGGGCAUCUAAGCUUUAUUUUACCUGCCCAAGGGCUCUCCCGGGCCGAAGAUGUUAAUGCACUUUCUCUUUCACUCCUCACAGUCUGUGAGGCAAACACUCAUUGUCCUCAUUUUGCAGAAGAGGAAAUGGGCUCAGAGGUCACUUGGCUAGUAUCUGGUCAUUAGUGUCUCCGGCAAGUAUUUCCGGCUCGCUGCCUCUGGCACAGGGCAGGCCGGCGUGUCCUCACUCUGGUGUGAGCUGUGGCUCUGUGACUUCCUUUGACCAAUGAAAUGCGAGUAGAACUCACAAGUAUCGCUUGUAGGUGGACGCUUCGCACACCCUGGCACCGCACACAAAUGCACGUGGUUUAGGGUGUCCACUAGGAACUGAGCCUACGAGCUGGUGUGUUACUUGGGCCGCGCCCCCCUCACCCCACACGCACGCCUGUACCGACACCCCUAGAAGGCGCAGAGCUGGCGUUCUGGUCUUAAAAGAUGCCCAGGGCCCCGAGUCUCUCAGGACUCCAGCUCCUCACACAGAACCACAGGCGCCCCUUUGGGGUUCUGGCCUCCAGGCUACGUGGAGCCCUGCCGGCAGGUAGAAGGGGGCAGGCGUCCUCAGGAACCACUCAGGGAAGCAAUUUGGAAAACCCCAGGGCCCUUCCGCGCCACUGGCCGUCUCCUGCCAAGGAGCGGUCAUGGACGGGGUGUCAGGACACACCUGUGCUAAUGCUGUGAGGCCCAGGGCCCGAUGGUGGACUCUUGUCUGACACUCGGAAAUGAACCGUCCGAGGAGACACGUGUGCUGACAAAGCAAGAAACUAUAGGGAGGGGCACCCAGGCAGAGAGCAGGAGGGCGAGGGAAGCAAGGAGAAGCGCUCCGCCCUGUGGCUCGCAGUCUCAGGCAUUAUGGUGAUGGGGUUAGUUUCUGAGUUGUCUCUGGCCAAUCAUUCUGACUCAGGGCCCUUCCUGGGAGCAGGCAUCACUAGCUGCCUCCUUCUCCCAGGAGGAUUCUGGGAGGUGGUAGGAUGUAUAGACUGGUGACCUUCUCCAGAUUCUUCUGGUUGGUGAGAGCUUGUUGGUUCCAAGUUCCUUCCCUGGCCCUCCUGUUGUCAGAUCACUCAUGCAGGUGGUUACCAUGGUGCCUGGCCAGGGUGGUGGUCUUGGACAGCGGCUCCCCUAACUUUGGCCCUGGCCCUGCUCAUUCAGCCUUCCCCGCGGCACUCUGUCAGUCCUCUCUGCAACAGGGCCUCUGCAAAGGGCUGGGUAACUGCCCAGAGACCCCAGACAGAUCUGUCUUCUCAGAGACAAAGUACCAGCUGCUGCCAUUUCUGACCAUGGUGCUGGCCAUCGAAGAAUUGAUGCCUUUGAACCGUGGUGUUCGAGAAGACUCUUGAGAGUCCCUUGGACUGUAAGGAGAUCCAACCAGUCCAUCCUAAAGGAAAUCAAUCCUGAAUAUUUGUAGGAAGGACUGAUGCUGAAGUUGAAGUUCCAGUAUUUUGGCCACCUGAUGCAGAGAGCCAACUCAUUGGAAAAGACCGUGAUGCUGGGAAAGAUUGAAGGUGGGAGGAGAAGCGGACGACAGAGGAUGAGAUGGUUGGAUGGCAUCACCGACUCAAUGGACAUGAGUUUGAGCAAGCUCUGGGAGUUGGUGAUGGACAGGGAGGCCUGGAAUGCUGCAGUCCCUGGGGUCACAAAGAGUCGGACACGACUGAGCAACUGAACAAGAAGAAAGGGUUAUCAACCAAGAGCUGUGAGGUCAGUUCUGCUUGGGGACUUUCUGAAGACUGUAGCCAGGAGACAGGCUCUUGGCAGCAACACGGAGCUGCUCAGAAGACGUGAGAACAAGUCAGCCUCCUGUGAUUUGGAGAAGGGGUAUGUGCCCCCGAGCAUACAUCUCACUAAGGGUUUGCUAGUCACGGGGGACAGAUGUCUCCGAUGACGAUUUUAGUGCUUUUCUAGGUGUCAGAAGAUACAAGAAAUUAGGCUCAUAAAAUCUGAAACAAUCUAAUGCUGAAGGUCAGCUCUGCAGGCUUUUCCUGGAGCACAGAGGGCCUCAUUUCUGAUCUCUGCCCUGAGCUCUUUCAGGGGGUGUUGAAGGUUGGCGACUGCAGUGGCCAGUGACGUCAUUCUUAUGGAACCAGGUGGAGAGUGGCCUUGUCAAAUGAACAGAGUUUCCUGCGGUCAUCAGAGAAGGCCCACUAGAGGAGACGGGCUGGGACGGAGGAGGGAGGUUGCUGGGUGCACAGAGGUGCUGAGGGCAUUGGGGUACGCGUGCUUGGGCGGGCGCUGGGCAGGGCGUGGCCCAGAUCAGUAGUGGGUGUGGUGGGGCUGGAUUAGGGACUGCCCUGCCAUCCUCCUGAUAACGGGAAGUCAGCAGCUCCAGAGGGGUGUCUGGGCCCUUGCUGGACCCCUGGCCUGAAAGCUAACUUGGCCUUUCCUGGAAUGAGUUUAUUAAUAGCCCACAUCCUGGAUGGUGUUGCAAGGCUGAAUGAGACAUUGCGUCAGGCACGAAAGGAACAGGGUUUGAUAAGGUCGCUACUAUCAUUCCGUGAUGACAGAACGGUAAACUGGUGGAGGCGUUUUAAAGGGCACGUGACUAGAAGUGGGCUGGGCGGCCCCUCCACUGGGCCUGCCUGUCUCCCGGGCCUCCUCCUGGAGCCGGGCUCCUCGCACGGACUCCGACACGCGUUCCUCCUCUGGGUCUUGGCUUCCUUUCUGACCACAAUGAGAUCUCCUCUUCUGAUCAUUUUAAACAAAAGUGCUUUGCUCUCCCUCCUCUGAGCCCUCCAAACCCCAGCAGCCGAUCCUCCACGUGCUUCUCUGACACCCUAGCGUUUUCAAUUCUUGUUCGACACCAAGAUUAUUAUCUUGCCCUAUGUAUCUAGGCCAACUUCUUUUAGAAUGCUUCUAAACCGGAUUUAGGCUCCACUGGGGGCAGCUGUGUGGCAUAGGAGGAAGACGCAAUGGGCUAGGGAGCAGGAGGACGCAUCCAGCCCUGCCGGGCAGACCCCGCCCUCGGCAGCUCAUCAGUAAACUGGCAGCAGGACCCGUGCGGGGGGCGGGGAGCGAGGGUCCAAUGCCACCGUGGCUGUGGGCCCAAGGCAGGAGUGAUGUGUGACUGGGGUCAGGUGCCAGGGAACGGGGCCAGGGUUAGGUCUGGGUUGGCUGUGGCUUUUCCAGUGACCCGUGGCCGGCCUCCACACCUGCUGGCUGAGGGUCGGAGCUGCAGAGCCUGUGAGAGGACCAGCCUGAUGCUGAGAUGUGCGGCUGGGAGCUAAGCCGCCCAGCUCCCCCACAAGAGACUCAGAGCCCCAUCAGGUCAGCCUCCGCCCUGUGAGGUCGGGCUCUCUCAGUGACCAGCUCUGACCCAGUCCAAGUAGCUGCUUCUUGGAGGGCCAGGCCCUUCCACGGUCACACUCACGCCUCCCAACAGCCUGGGAACAGAAAUCAUUCCUCCAUUUACAGGAGGAGGAAGCUUGAAAGGGCGCGUGAGCGGCUGAUGUCGGGGCGGGGGGCGGGCGGAGGGCCCUGGGGCUCCACGGGCCCGGCUCCAGGGCUGUGCUCCGUCACGUUGCACAGGGCAGCUCGGUUUCAAGGACCACGCAGCCCGGCCAGAGCUGGGCCUGGAGAUGCCCCGGGACCAGAGCCGGGCCGCCUCCGCACUUGGGAGCCGGGCUGCCUCCGCACUUGGGAGCUGGGCCGCCUCCUUGGUUCAGAGACGCUCCAUCUGAGCUCCACAGAUUCCAGAUGAGAGAAGGGGCUUCCCCCCGCCUCACGCCCUCUACGUGGCUCAGUGCCCGCCCCAGCCCCCAGCUUCAUCCCGCCCCUUCUGUAGAUCCCCCAGCA
ensembl:lncRNA